CACAAGCCUAAUGGGUGUAGUCAAGCUUGUUGGAACUCUCUUGAGAUCAUCGAGUCCCUGGGCAUAUUUCCAGAUCAGUUUCUGACUGUGGGUACAGAUAGAACUGGAUAGGGCAAGAGUUCCUUGGCUCUUACUCGGAAGCAUCUUGAGGUGACUUCCCAGACUCACUUCCAGCCUUGCAAAUCCAGAAACACCCGCAGUAUGGCAGAAAUACCAAGGUCUUUUCACAUACACCCACCAAAGAGCUACAGCAGGCUGCUCCCUUAAUGCAGCGUGAACUGCUUUCCUGACUGAGACAGCCAUCUCCCUGUCCCUGGGAUCUGCGGCUGACUCAUCUGUCCUCAGAGUCAGGCACAUAUAUGAAACAGAAUUCGCAGUUCACAGUCUUCCACUAAUGUUUUGCCCCCAAAGAUUAUACAAUCACCAUCUGGGAUGUUUCAGUCCUUCUAAGGAGGGGAACAAAAUACUCACAG
ensembl:lncRNA